rnacentral:rRNA from 1 species
GGAAUUACUGGGCGUAAAGCGCGCGUAGGCGGCUCUUUAAGUCGGAUGUGAAAGCCCCGGGCUCAACCUGGGAACUGCAUCCGAUACUGGGGAGCUAGAGUGUAGGAGAGGGAGGUAGAAUUCCAUGUGUAGCAGUGAAAUGCGUAGAUAUAUGGAGGAAUACCAGUGGCGAAGGCGGCCUCCUGGCUUAACACUGACGCUGAGGUGCGAAAGCGUGGGGAGCAAACGGGAUUAGAUACCCCGGUAGUCCACGCCGUAAACGAUGUCUACUAGCUGUAGGGGUACUUGAGACCUUUGUAGCGCAGCUAACGCACUAAGUAGACCGCCUGGGGAGUACGGCCGCAAGGUUAAAACUCAAAUGAAUUGACGGGGGCCCGCACAAGCAGUGGAGCAUGUGGUUUAAUUCGAUGCAACGCGAAGAACCUUACCAGGCCUUGACAUCCUCGGAACUUUCUAGAAAUAGAUUGGUGCCUUCGGGAACCGAGUGACAGGUGCUGCAUGGCUGUCGUCAGCUCGUGUCGUGAGAUGUUGGGUUAAGUCCCGUAACGAGCGCAACCCUUGUCCUUAGUUGCCAGCACAUAAUGGUGGGAACUCUAAGGAGACUGCCGGUGACAAACCGGAGGAAGGUGGGGACGACGUCAAGUCAUCAUGGCCCUUACGGCCUGGGCUACACACGUGCUACAAUGGCUAGGACAGACGGCCGCAAACCCGCGAGGGGGAGCUAAUCCGACAAACCUAGUCGUAGUCCGGAUCGGAGUCUGCAACUCGACUCCGUGAAGUCGGAAUUGCUAGUAAUCGCGAAUCAGAAUGUCGCGGUGAAUACGUUCCCGGGCCUUGUACACACCGCCCGUCACACCAUGGGAGUGGGUUGCUCCAGAAGUGGUUAGUCUAACCUUCGGGAGGACGAUCACCACGGAGUGAUUCAUGACUGGGGUGAAGUCGUAACAAGGUAGCCCUAGGGGAACCUGGGGCUG